UCAGACUUAUCUUUUAGUUUCCAGAGGCAGAAAAAAGGCAGAAAAGGUUGUUGAAAUUCUUCACAUUGAUUUCAGGGCAAUGAUCUCAAAUGGCGCAGUGGGAACCAGCAAAUUGAACCCUCCACAUGCACUCCUCAGUACUUGGGGAACAGAAGGGAAUGAGAUGAAUGCACAUGGCUACAAGAAACGAGAACUAACAGAAAAUAAAAAGCCUCGAGACUUUCACUUGAUCUAGCUAAGAGCUCUAAAGCAGUCUUAUUUCUUCAGAACUUCCUUCAGUGUUUGAGCUACCCAGGAAUUCUUCCAGUAAACACUUGAGCAUAGGAAGCCAUUAGACUGUACAAUUACAAAAUAUUAGGUUCUCCUAUGGUAGAAAACAGAGAUAACCACUGUUACCCAAUAGUAUCUUUCGGGUGGGUUUUAAAAUAAACAGUUUCCCUAGGAAAAGAGCCAGCAUGCCUGCAUAUGGCAGGGAAGUGUGACACAAAGCACCAGACUGGUUUUGGCAAACACAGGGAGGAGCCAAUUUCCAAAAGCUCUACAGUUUUAAUCCCCACUGGCAUGCAAUGUUUGUUUGUAUCUCACCCUUCUAUGUGUAAAACUGGACUCAAAAUUUGCACACUUAAGGAACCUGAUUUUCUUGAUUUUGAUAUGAUCUCUUUUGGGCCAGAAGUAAUGCCUCCUAGAACUCUAUCUUCCUAAUCUACUAAGAAAAUAAAGUGGUACACAUAUUGUAAGGAAAGUGUAAAUGUGGAUGAAAGCAGAACAAAUUUAGCUAUUGUGACUAGAGACACAGGAUUCAUUAAGCCCCAUUUGCUCUGGAUGGCCAUUUUCUUUUCAAUACAAGGGGUGAAUAUCAAGGUCAA
rnacentral:lncRNA from 1 species